AAAUAAAAAAAAUUCGGAGCAAUGAUAUUUGUUUGACGACGAAGUUCAGUGAGUUACUCGGUUUGAAACAUUUUCUACGUUGAGGCAGGCUCGUCGCAGCAAUUUUUCAAGAGAGAGAGAAAAGAGAGAGUGGUACAUAUGCAGCAUCUCUGAUCGGUUGCUGAGUGAAAAAGGAAGAAAUUUCGGAAAAUACGGGCGUUAACCGUGUUUGUGCGAAAAAUACGAGAAGUGUUUGUGUCGGAAUUUCAUCUGUCCGAGGUUUCAGAACGGAAGAGCGGAAGAACAGUGAAAGGAAAAAAAAAGUAUUUUUUUGAACAGAAUAUUAAAUAAGUGAAAAAAUAAUUGAAAAAGUGUUUAAAUUAAAAGGAUCCUUUUGAAUUAUUCACACGAAAACCUUUUGCACCCCCCAACAAAUUUCAAUUAAAUUCAAUUUUUGAGCGGUUUACCAAAGAGAGACAACGCGUUGGAACCGCUAAGGCGUAUUUUUAAGAGACCGAACGUUUUGAUGGAUACAAACUCUGUGAGUCCAUUGCCACCCCCAGAAGCUCCUCUUGCCAUGAUGGAAGGUGAAAAGACACCCCCACGUUCUCCCGGAGCCGGCGGCGAAGCUGGAGACGGAGCUUUGCCUCCUCCGCCUGACGAGAAGUAAGUUGAAAU